GCCCUCGUAGCUCAUCAGGAUAGAGCACCAGAUUCCUAAUCUGGGGGUAACAGGUUCGAGUCCUGUCGAGGGCACCA
rnacentral:tRNA from 2 species